rfam:Triticum urartu cultivar G1812 contig454154, whole genome shotgun sequence.
GAAAGCCGUAUGCUUUGGAAGAAGCUUGUACAGUUUGGGAAGGGGUUUUUUGAGAGAAACGGUGAACAUGAUAUACUCUAC